AUUUAAUCUGUAGAUUUUUACUCAUGUUUUAUAUUAUACUGUUUUCCUAAUAAAUAUGUUGUCAAUUACUCUGUAGAUCUGUGAUGAAAGUGGACAGAUAAUACGAGCUUUGUCGGGAAAAGGUGACAGAAGUGAUACAAUGUGUCAACGGUACGUCUUCUUUUGUCUUGUACUUUUGUUGUACGAGACUUUUAAUUAGCAUAACAUCUGUCAAUUUGGUUAGAUAGAAACUGAUUAGAUCUGAGACUUUUUAUUUUGUUUUGUUUUGUUUUU
rnacentral:sRNA from 1 species